AAGCUGAAAUCCAAGAUUUCAUUCAAUGUGUUCAAGUGGCUGAACUUUCAGAAUUGCCUUGGAAAGGGACUUUCUUCACAUGGUCUAAUAAGCAAACUGGUUCUGAUAAAGUUUGUAGUAGAUUGGAUAGAAUAUUUAUCAAUUAUGAAUGGAUGAUUAAGUGGAGUCAUGUACAAACUGUAUAUGACCCCCCUUUAAUAUCUGAUCAUAAUCCAAUGGUCCUUACUGUUUUUGAAGAUCACAGGCUCAGGAAAACUCCCUUCAGAUUUUACAAUGCAUGGGCUAACCACAAAGACUUUCAGUGCAUUGUCAAGGAACACUGGAAAAACACUGCUCAAGAUACUCUCAAGGAGGUCUGGAUCAAUCUCAAGGCACUUAUGAAGAUCAUAGGCUCACGAAAACUCCCUUCAGAUUUUACAACGCAUGGGCUAACCACAAAGGCUUUCAGUGCAUUGUCAAGGAACACUGGAAAAACACUGCUCAAGAUACUCUCAAGGAGGUCUGGAUCAAUCUCAAGGCACUCAAACCUUUUCUUAAAUCUCUAAAUGUUAGAGAAUUUAAGAACAUUACACAAAGAAUUGAGGAUAGCAGGGUGGAAUUGGCUGACUUUCAAAAUCAGAUGAGGCUGCAAUAUACGGAUGAGUUACAGACUAAAGAAAGGGAUCUGAUAUUGAAGUUGGAGAAAUGGUCAAUGAUAGAAGAGAGUAUACUGCAACAGAAAUCCAGAGCUAGAUGGAUUCAAUUGGGAGACUCAAAUAAUAAAUAUUUUAAUGCUCUACUGAAAUAUUUUAAUUGGUUACAGCAGGAGGUACCAAAAUUACUAAUCCAGAUGCAAUCAGAGA
rnacentral:lncRNA from 1 species